rnacentral:rRNA from 1 species
AGCAUGACCUAGCAAUAGGUUGAUGGCGACCGGCGCACGGGUGAGUAACACGUAUCCAACCUACCGGUUAUUCCGGGAUAGCCUUUCGAAAGAAAGAUUAAUACCGGAUAGUAUAGCGAGAAGGCAUCUUCUUGUUAUUAAAGAAUUUCGAUAACCGAUGGGGAUGCGUUCCAUUAGUUUGUUGGCGGGGUAACGGCCCACCAAGACAUCGAUGGAUAGGGGUUCUGAGAGGAAGGUCCCCCACAUUGGAACUGAGACACGGUCCAAACUCCUACGGGAGGCAGCAGUGAGGAAUAUUGGUCAAUGGACGAGAGUCUGAACCAGCCAAGUAGCGUGAAGGAUGACUGCCCUAUGGGUUGUAAACUUCUUUUAUAUGGGAAUAAAGUGAGCCACGUGUGGCUUUUUGUAUGUACCAUACGAAUAAGGAUCGGCUAACUCCGUGCCAGCAGCCGCGGUAAUACGGAGGAUCCGAGCGUUAUCCGGAUUUAUUGGGUUUAAAGGGAGCGUAGGCGGACUAUUAAGUCAGCUGUGAAAGUUUGCGGCUCAACCGUAAAAUUGCAGUUGAUACUGGUCGUCUUGAGUGCAGUAGAGGUAGGCGGAAUUCGUGGUGUAGCGGUGAAAUGCUUAGAUAUCACGAAGAACUCCGAUUGCGAAGGCAGCUUACUGGACUGUAACUGACGCUGAUGCUCGAAAGUGUGGGUAUCAAACAGG